GUAGGCUGCAACUCGCCUACACGAAGCUGGAAUCGCUAGUAAUCGCGGAUCAGCACGCCGCGGUGAAUACGUUCCCGGGCCUUGUACACACCGCCCGUCACACCAUGAGAGUCUGUAACACCCAAAGCCGGUGGGAUAACCUUUAUAGGAGUCAGCCGUCUAAGGUAGGACAGAUGAUUAGGGUGAAGUCGUAACAAGGUAGC
rnacentral:rRNA from 1 species